rnacentral:lncRNA from 1 species
CUGGGAAUUAUAGUCAUUAGACGCCUGUUGGACGUGGGCUGUCGUAGUCUUGGAACUACAAUUCCCGGUGGGCUACACGCUGCACUCGCUGUCGUUAGCCGUGAGCCGGGAGAUUGCCUCAGCUGGCCCAAGUGUGUGCUUUAGUGUUGCGAGCAUCUGGUUGCACUGAGAGGGAGGGGAAAGAUUGUAAUCACUUCUUUGAAGGGGUUCGCCGAGUCACUGUCGUGGGUUUGUAGAUUCUCCAGGAGGUGCCAUGGCGGAGAGUCAAAAAAACAAGAAGGAAAAAAACCCAAAUCCUGGGAAGUGGUUGUGGCUUAAGUGAUAAGGGCCUACCAUACGGGAUGACCCAGGUUUGAUCCCUGGGGCCUUCUGGUGAAAAAGAAGAGAAAACAUGACUGCAUGGCAAGCCAAGUGCCCACGUGGUAAGCCAAGUGCCCACGUGGUGAGCCGAGUGUCCGUGUGGUGAGCUGAGUGCCCAUGUGGGUGCCUACACAGUGAGCCGAGGGACCACAUGGUGAGCUGAGUGCCCACAUGAGGGCCUGCAUGGUGAGCCAAGUGCUUGCAAGGUGAGCCAGUUGCCCACUAGUACUCGCGUGGUGAACCGAGUGCCCAUGUGAGUGCCCACGUGAGUGCCCACGUGGCAAGCCGAGUGCCUGUCUGUGUGCCCACGUGGUAAGCCAGUACCCGUGCAAGUGAGUCACGCAAGAUGAUGACAC